UACGGAGGAUCCAAGCGUUAUCCGGAAUCAUUGGGUUUAAAGGGUCCGUAGGCGGUUUUGUAAGUCAGUUGUGAAAGCCCAUCGCUCAACGGUGGAACGGCCAUUGAUACUGCAAGACUUGAAUUACUAGGAAGUAACUAGAAUAUGUAGUGUAGCGGUGAAAUGCUUAGAUAUUACAUGGAAUACCAAUUGCGAAGGCAGGUUACUACUAGUGGAUUGACGCUGAUGGACGAAAGCGUGGGGAGCGAACAGG
rnacentral:rRNA from 1 species